rnacentral:rRNA from 1 species
UGAACGCUGGCGGCGUGCCUAAUACAUGCAAGUCGAACGCUUCACUUCGGUGAAGAGUGGCGAACGGGUGAGUAAUACAUAAGUAACCUGGCAUCUACAGGGGGAUAACUGAUGGAAACGUCAGCUAAGACCGCAUAGGUGUAGAGAUCGCAUGAACUCUAUAUGAAAAGUGCUACGGGACUGGUAGAUGAUGGACUUAUGGCGCAUUAGCUUGUUGGUAGGGUAACGGCCUACCAAGGCGACGAUGCGUAGCCGACCUGAGAGGGUGACCGGCCACACUGGGACUGAGACACGGCCCAGACUCCUACGGGAGGCAGCAGUAGGGAAUUUUCGGCAAAGGGGGAAACCCUGACCGAGCAACGCCGCGUGAAGGAAGAAGUAAUUCGUUAUGUAAACUUCUGUCAUAGAGGAAGAACGGUGGAUAUAGGGAAUGAUAUCCAAGUGACGGUACUCUAUAAGAAAGCCACGGCUAACUACGUG